UACGUAGGGUGCGAGCGUUUAAUCGGAAUUACUGGGCGUAAAGCGUGCGCAGGCGGUCUGUUAAGACCGAUGUGAAAUCCCCGGGCUUAACCUGGGAACUGCAUUGGUGACUGGCAGGCUUUGAGUGUGGCAGAGGGAGGUAGAAUCCCACGUGUAGCAGUGAAAUGCGUAGAGAUGUGGAGGAAUACCGAUGGCGAAGGCAGCCUCCUGGGCCAACACUGACGCUCAUGCACGAAAGCGUGGGGAGCAAACAGG
rnacentral:rRNA from 1 species